UUGACUUGGACGGGCGAAAGAGCUACAUACAUUUUUAGGUUGGUCACCCACUCUUCCAUAGGCUCUCUUCCCCCCUGCUAUUGGGCUCGGAAGAGAGUUAGUUCUAGUUGAAUUGCAAGCAAAGCUCAACACUGCUAGCAAAGCUCUAUGACAGAGCAUUUCCUUUUAAUAAAGUGACACAUUAGUAGGUUUAAAAAAUGAGUCUGACUUUUUUUGACUUAAAUGACAAUACUCUUUCAGUUAUGACCGUCACUCUUCACAUUUUUAAGUUAAGUAUUAAUACCAUUUUUUGUCCAAUUAAGGUUAAUAAAAUUGAUAUAAAUAGAUCAGAACUGCUACGGGCCGAAUAUGCAAUGGCUCGAAUGGCUCAAAUGUGGUUUCCCUCAAAAAAUUUGAUACACGUGGAGCUCACGUGUUUUGGAAAGCAAACUAACGAAACAAAAAACAGAAACAAGAGAGGAGAGAAGAGAAGAGAGGAGAGAGAGAGAGAGAGAGAAGCUACAGGACUUCACGACGACGAGAGAGAUGACCACGACGACCACCGACCUGGUGUUCACCAGCGACCGUCGCUGACCACCGUCCACCGCUGUUCAGAAUCUCCAUGCCGAAUGUCCUAAACAUUUUUUAUCUGUGCAUCUAGCUACACGAACUCCACGCUUUAAUGGACAUUGAUUCAAAUAAUCCUUCAUUGAAUGGGACUGAGGAAGUUAAAGAAGCGGAGAACAAUCCGUCAUUAAAUGAGAUUGGUGAAGUUGAAGAACCUAAGAAGGGCAUGUGUUUUAGCUCAAAGAAAGAAGUAUAUUCGUUUUAUGCAAAAUAUGCGAAGCACCUUUGAUUUGCUAUAGUUUAUAGAAUACAAAAUAUUGGACAAGAUAGGGAAGUAAAAUACUUUGGAAUUGAAUGUACUCGGGCAUGCAAGAGAACAAAAUGAUCAGAAGUACACCCUCUCGAACCAUCUUUGUUAUCAUUUAUUGAAUGUAAAACAAAUGUUAGAGAAACUCUACAAAAGGAUGGAAGAUUUAAGUUGACCACAGUUGUGCCUGAACAUACGCAUCACUUGAUUCCUAGUGACUCACGAUAUUUUGCAAUGAAUAAGAGAAUUCUUACUCCUGUGAAGAGAAGACUAGAAAUAAACGAUGAAACAGGGAUAGGGGUGGCUAGGAAUUUUCAUUCUAUAGUUGUUGAAGUAGGGGGGUAUGAGGCAUUAACAUUUGAUGAACGAGAUGCAAUGAAUUAUAUUCAGAGUAUGAGAAAAUUGAGCCUUGGGAUAGGAGAUGCUGAAUCAGUUGCACUUUAUUUUCAUAGGAUGCAACAACAAAGUUUGAACUUCUAUUUUGCAAUUGACCUCGAUGAAGAUGGUCGCAUGUGAAACUUGUUUUGGGUGGAUGCAAGGAGUAGGGCAGCUUAUAAAGCAUUUGGGGAUGUGGUUUCAUUUGACACAACUUAUUUCACAAACAAAUAUGAUAUGUCAUUUGCUCCGUUUGUAGGAGUUAAUCACCGUGCGCAACCAAUUUUGCUUAGUUAAGGGCUGUUAUCUAAUGAGAACACUGAAACCUUUGUGUUGCUAUUCAGAGAAUGGUUAAGUUGCAUGCCUGACGUUUCUCCAAAAGCUAUAAGAACAGACCAGUGCAGAGCUAUGCAAAAUGCCAUUGAAGUUGUCUUUCCACAAGCUCGACAUCGUUGGUGUUUAUGGCAUAUAAUGAAGAAAAUUUCGGAGAAAUUAAGAGGAUAUGCCCAAUAUGAAUCCAUCAAGUUCGCUUUGCAAAAUGCAGUUCAUGAUUGUUUUACAAAAAGAUGAAUUUGAUGAAGAAUGGCAAGCGAUGAUUGCAAAGUUCAAGCUAGAUGAUAAUGAGUGGUUAGAGGUAUUAUACAGUGAGCGACAUAGGUGGAUUCCUGCAUAUGUUAAGCACGUUUUUUGGGCUGGCAUGUCGACUACACAACGAAGUGAGAGUAUGAAUGCAUUUUUUGAUGGAUAUGUGAACUCAAAGACAACUUUAAAGCAAUUUGUUGAACAAUAUGAUAAUGCCUUGAGAAGUAAGAUUGAGAAAGAGAUGAAAGCAUUUAAAUCUCGAAGCAAAUUGUAUGGUUGCUUGACGGUAUAUGAGUUUGAGAAGCAAUUUCGUGCAGCCUACACAGAUGCAAAAUUUAAAUAAGUGCAAGUAGAAUUGAAGCGACUAUUGUAUUGUCGUGCGAAUCUUGUCAAAAAGAAAGGAUCAAUUUGUACUUAUCAUGUGAAUGAGGCUGUUUUUGUCGGUGAGAAAAUGAAGAUUGUGGAAUUUGUUGUGUACUUUAAUGCAAGUGAAUGUGAAUUGCAUUGUAUGUGUCGAUGGUUUGAGUUUAGGGGCAUUAUGUGUGCCCAUGCAAUUACUGUGCUACUUGAGAGGUGUAUAUAUUAGGUUCCAGAUAAAUACAUUGUAUCAAGAUAGAGAAAAGAUAUCAAAAGAGGAUACACAUGCAUUCCAACCACAUACACUAAAGGCAGGGCUAUUCUUAAUGCAAAUUUGCAUGAUAAAUAUCACAAGAUGUUGGAUAAAAUCAUAGAAAUUGCUGCCAACGAUGAUGGUAAACAUGAAAAGCUUGAUCUUGGGUUGAUAGAAAUCAAGGAUGGAGUGAGAAAAGAUCAAUUAGGUAGUGCGAGUCAUGUACCACCUUCUACUAGUGACGUGCCACCUUCUCAUAGUUCGCUGAAAAGUCCGUCUGCUCGUAGUACUACAAAAGCAAGCAUGUCUCGCAAGAUGCUUAGUCCUAGGGUGCUCGCCGAAGAGGACGUCUAUGUACCAAACGAAAGGUUAGCAAAGUGGAUGAAAUAGUGAAUCGGAUGAAAACGGAAAGAGUAAAAAGCCUCCAAAAGCACAGGUAAGUUCUUUUCUUGUGUGUGAUAUGGAAAUUGUUGAAUGUAUUUAAGAUAAAUUAUUCACCAAUGUGUCUGUGUCUUACUAUAGGGACGUAUGAUUCCUCAAUGUCAGCCUCGGAAGUUAAAUUUUCCUGCUACAGAUGAUAUGCAAUACAAGACUUAUCAUGACCCAAUAUCUGUUUGAAUUUUUAUGUUGUUCGUUGUUUUUUAUUUUAAUGUCUGAAAUGUAUAAUGAAAUUGUAUUACUAUGAUCAUAAAGGGACGCAAACUGUACCUUACUAUUUUCCUUGCAUGGAUGGCACACAGCAAAGUAUGUAUGUACCGUUUAGUCAAAUGCAAACGGUGGACAAUAUUGGAGGCACAUCUCACACUCAAUUAGGAAUGGUGAACAACAUCAGCAGUCAAAGUUCGACAAUCGCUUCAAAUUUUGUUCACUUCAAUGUAGAUGUGGAUCCAAAUGUCCCAUUUUUUUUUAGUUUCGCAUUAGUACUUUGUAAUUUUUUUUUAUACUUUAAGGGUGUGUUUGUUUGGACGGACUAGAUAAGGGGGAUUGUAAUCCAUCGGACUAAUA